UAAACACAGGUCUGCUAGCAACAAUAUGAUAAGUACUUCAUCGUACCUCUUUGUCAUUUUCAGACAGUCUUCCAGGCAUUAAUGGCCAUAUCUCUGAUUUUCUUAGCACCAGAACUCUGCCCGAGUACUUUCUUUAGUUUUCAUAUUCCAACUUGACAUACAUCCGAUAUGAACUCCUUCCUCUUAUUGAAACGCUGGGGUCUUUCCUCAGAUACCUGUUGGUUGAUGAACUCUGAGAUUUUUGCUCUCGUGUCUCCGGCCCUUACGAAGUUUCACGUUAAAGCUG
rnacentral:misc_RNA from 1 species